GUAAAAUGCUUUAUUUGCACAGAAAUUAAAUUUUGUGGUAAACACGUUUUCAGCAGGGUAAUUUUUUUUCACUUAUUUGUUUGUUUGUGACUCUUAUUUUUUGAAGAUCAAGGCUGCUUAUUCUAACUUGAAGGAUAGAAACAAUAUAAGUAUAUGGUCGAAAAUAUGAAACAUCGCACUGAGCUUUUAUGUCCUGCUUCUAAUGUUUAACAAAUAAAUUUUUGUAUUUUCGGACAAUGUACAAAUAUUGUAUAUUUAGUACUGUUUAAUGAGAAUAAUGUAUGAAAAGAGCUAUUAUUUGGCCACUGAAAUUGGAAAAAUAGCAUAAUUCAAAAUUCUUUCAAAAUUGUGUUAUUUUACUUAUAAAUUAUUGGAUGAUAGUGUGGACAUUUUAGUGCAAACUUGACAUUUGUAAUUUGACUGAUAAAUUGCAAAAAUUACCAUAAAUGGUCAGUUAAAAUAUAGUUUUGGUAUGAAAUAGAUAUGA
rnacentral:lncRNA from 1 species